rnacentral:lncRNA from 9 species
UAUGUUCCACAAGGCCAAGACUAUUUAUUAUUUGACCCCAUAAAAAUUUUGUUGACUUCUGUAUUUAUUUUAAACAUACCUAUUAUUCCAGGUUCAACUUGAAUCUUUCUAAGAAUUUUCUUGCAAUUUUCCCUGCUCACACUGCCCUCUGUAUCUGUAGAUUGUUGUUAAAAUUAUAGAUAUAUCCAUACCAUCCACAGCUUAACUAAACUUCAGGUAAGUUUUUUUUUUUCUUUCUUCAUUACCUUAUUCUUGCAGCAUUUAUAUGAGAAAACAAAAUUUUAAAUUCCUUCUCCUUCCCUAGGAUAUGUGAAAGUUUUACAACCCAGGAAUGUCUUGCUCAAGAACCUGGGAGACUUCCUUUCUCAAAGUAAUAAUUGAGAAAGAUAAGGCCCCUUUAUCCCAGUCUCUGUGCAGAGGUAGACACUAACUCCCAUUAGUGCUACUUAGAAGGCCACCCUUCAGGCUAAGGACCGGGAGUACUUUUUAAUUAGUUCACUCUGUGUUUGCAAAUCCACCCCCAUCUUUGUUUCAGAGGAGCUGAGUUCAAUCUCUUGCAGUCAUCUUUAAUAAUCUUGACCUUCAGCAAAUUGUGCUUGCAUUUUUUGUUUGUUUGUUUGUUUAUUUGUUUUAGGCUAUACCCUAGGCCUAUGGAAGUUCUAAGGCUAGGGGUUGAAUUGGGCACAGCUGCGGGCCACAGCCACAGCCAUAGCAAUGAGGAGCCAAGCCUCCUCUGUGACCUCUCACAGCAACGUUGAAUCCUUAAGCCACUGAGGGAGGCCAGAGAUUGAACCUGCAUCCUGAUGGAUAGUAGUCAGAUUGGUUUCCACUGAGCUGCUACAGGAACUCCUAGCACAAAGUUUUGGAUAAAGUUUUCCUUGCCAAGGUAAUUCUAUCUAGUGCAAUACUUGUUUGAAACAUCUGUGACUCUUUUCUAUCAAAUAAAAGUCUUACUCUCAAAAUCCAUAGUGAUGGCUGCCUUAGUGAGCUUGGACUGCUACAACAGAAUACACUGCAUGGGGUGGCUUACACAAUAGUUAUUUAUUUCUCAUAUUUCUAACAGUUAAACAUUCAAGAUCAGGUGGAACAAAGUCAGGUUCUGAGGAAUGCCAUGUUUCUGAUUUACACAGGGUGGGUCAUUUUUCUCAUGCAUCCUCACAUGACAACAGAAGAGGAAAAGGGUAGAGCUCUUUUCUUCCUAGAGGGACUCCACCCUCAUAAACUAAUUGCCCCCCAAAGGCCCCAGCUCCCAGUACCAUCCCUCUGGAGGUUGGUGUUCCAAUAUAGGAUACAGUAUGGGGCAUCACAAAUUUGCAGUCCACAAGCAUAGUAGCUUACACUAUUUAGAGUCAGUGGGAUUUGGUUAGACUCUUCAUGAUACUCUGUGUGUAAGAGUGAUAGUCUCCAAGUUGGCCUUAUUUCAUCACUUUUAUGUAUUUACCUUGAUUCAUUAUGAUAAAUAGUCACCAACUAUAAAAACAGUUGUUGGAUCAAAGAUAGGAGGAUUUUCAAAAGAAAAAAAUAUGACCGGGUCAAAGAAAUGCCAAUCAGGUUGGCAUUUGAAUCUAUAUCAAAACCCGGUCAAUUCUCCACUUCUAAAAUCAACAAUAGCACAUUUACAGAUUUCUUUUAAUCACAAACUCAUUUAAUGUGUGUUAACUAACAUUUACUGAGUAUGGCCCUCUUUCCCAGCAAACACCUACAAGUUCAUUAUUGGAUAAAGAGGCACAUGGUAAACCUAAUGUGUUUAAGUGGAUGAAUCAUUAGUGCCCCAUCAUUAUCACAUCCAAAAUGUUCUGAGGUUUUUAUUUGAGACAUAAAUAACCACGUGUGCUUUACAACACCUUUUAUGAAUGGACUGGGAUAUUUCUGGCUGUACAUAACUUCUGGGGAAAAAGUCCUUUCCUUUUCCUGAAAAGGGAUGGUGGGGCCGCUUACGCAGCGCUGGAAGUAAGGACAGGGGUUUCCUGCGGAUCCCAGGCCUGCAGCCUGGCCUUGCACCAUCCGAGCACCACGCUUGGCCAAACAUUCCCCCUGCAGAGGCAGGGGCUGCUCCCAAGUGUUCGCAUCCCCCUGCGAUGGGUGGCGGGGGCUCUGGCCACCUCCCUGUGGGGCCUGUGUAAGCUGGGCCAGCUUGGCCAUGCAAACCGCUGCCACUAGAGGGCAGUGCGGCACCAUGCUGACUGGACUCAGGCUGCCAGCUGAUCUUUGGGAGGGGUGCUUGGGCAGGGCACCGAGCACUAGAGCACCACGUUCCUAGCGCGAUGGGCCCUGGCAUUGUGCCACAGUGUCUUUUCCACGGCGAUGGUGGUUGGCUCCGUGGAGGGGCCUGCUGGCACCAUCACCAAGGAGACUGGAAGGGUGAGGGGGUGGGCGCUCUCCAGCGGGGAUUCUGGGUCCCAGAGGACCCCUCGGCGACAUCACUGGCCACAUUCCCUGUGGGGCCAAGCUGCGGGGGAGCCUGGCAGGAACAAGUAGGGUGGGGGGCGAUGGCACACCUAGAAAUGAUCAUGCUAAGUGAAGUCAAACAUGCAAUGAGACAUCAUCAAAUGGAUUCACUGACAUGUGGAAUCCAAAAAAGGACAGGAGGAGACAGUUUUGGGGGGUGGCGGGAUGUGCCUGGGUUGUGGGAUGGAAAUCCUGGUGACAUUAGCUUGUGAUGAUCAUUAUACAACUACAGAUGUGAUAUAUUCAUUCGAUAAUUUUUAAAAAAUGAAAAGAAAAUUAACACACCAAGUAAGAAAAGCCAAAAGAUUAUAUCAAUAAAUGUAGGAAAUGCCUCUGACGAAAUGCAACAUCAACUGAGAGUAGAAGGAAAUUUCCCUAACCUAAUAAAGAACAUGUAUUUAAAAAACUAC